rnacentral:rRNA from 1 species
GACGAACGCUGGCGGCGUGCUUAACACAUGCAAGUCGAACGAUGAAGAAGAGAAGCCCGAACUUCGGUUCAAAUUUCACUUCGGAUUAUUGGCAGACGGGUGAGUAACGCUUUAGCAACCUACCUCUUACAAAGGGAUAGCCUCUGGAAACCGUUAUUAAUACCAUAUGACACCUUCAUAAGGCAUCUUAAUAAUGUUGAAGCUACGGCGGUAAGAGAUGGGCUCGCGUCCCAUGAGAUAGUUGGUGAGGUCACGGCCCCCCAAAGCGACGAUGGGUAACCGGGCAGAGAGGGUGAGCGGUGACAUUGGAACUGAGCAACGGUCCAAAAUACUACGGGAGGCAGCAGUGGGGAAUAUAGCAAUAUGGAGGGAACUAUGAUGGAGCGACGCUGCGAGAGCGAUGAAGGAAGUAGUUAAGUACAGCUCUGUUAUAUGGGAAGAAAAGGACUGUACCAAAGGAGAAAGCCCCGGCUAACUACGUG